rnacentral:rRNA from 1 species
GCUAAUCUGCGAUAAGCGUCGGUAAGGUGAUAUGAACCGUUAUAACCGGCGAUUUCCGAAUGGGGAAACCCAGUGUGUUUCGACACACUAUCAUUAACUGAAUCCAUAGGUUAAUGAGGCGAACCGGGGGAACUGAAACAUCUAAGUACCCCGAGGAAAAGAAAUCAACCGAGAUUCCCCCAGUAGCGGCGAGCGAACGGGGAGGAGCCCAGAGCCUGAAUCAGUGUGUGUGUUAGUGGAAGCGUCUGGAAAGGCGCGCGAUACAGGGUGACAGCCCCGUACACAAAAAUGCACAUACUGUGAGCUCGAUGAGUAGGGCGGGACACGUGGUAUCCUGUCUGAAUAUGGGGGGACCAUCCUCCAAGGCUAAAUAC